GGACAGGUGGCUUUGAGGGAUCAAAGCAGGGCAGCCUCAUUAAAUCCAGGACUGUGGGGAGGUCUUGUUUGGAGCAAGGACUUGAAAUUUGGCAGGAGGGUCACCGUGGUAUCUGCUGUUCUGUGACAAAAAGAUGCAGUGCCACAGGUGUGCAUGACAAAGAAGAAGGUACUGAAAGUCCCACAUCUGGACAGGAGAGUGCAGUGUUCCCAACUUCUGGAAUUUUAAUGGGAGUCUCACAUUAUUGGUCUUUUUCUUAAAGCCCCAGAUGCCAGAGUCUCUGCUUUGUUUCUUUUAAACAUGGUUAUGGGCGAAACCCUGGCCUCAAUGGCAAACUUCCAUUAGAAGCAGAGAAAUACUUGAAAACAACC